UUGUGGAAAAGGCAGCUGCCAACAUAGACGCAACGCAAGUGAGGCGUGAGAGUUCUGGAAGGGGGCGGCGGGAAGGAGUUGAGACUGGGAUUAAGGAGUGGGGUAAAGUCAGUGUCGACGUUAUUGGUGUAACUGGAAAGUAACAGUAUAAUAAGGGAGGGGCCUUACGCAGUUAUUUCUCCUGAAUUAAAGCAUUCCUUCCUGGAGGGAAGAUGUGAGCUUACACAACGUAGGAGGCCUAGUUAUCUCAAAAAAUUUUGCAACAUCAACUAGAUCUAUCCCCAGCAUUAUGAAAUGAGUGGGCAGUUCCUGGGCAGUUCCUGGGAGAGGAACCCACCCAUGGAGGCACCUGGACGUGGCGCAGGGAGCGUAGGGAUGCAGGUUUCUUGAGCUAUCACUCGUGUUGCUGCAGACCUUUGGGUGAUGCAGGUGCCUUUGAGUUACCCGCGCCCCGAUAAGUAACCCCUCAUCCACAUUCCUGGAGGCAGCCCUAGUAAACCCACUGGUUCCUAAAGCUAGACGUGAGUAGAAUUUCUUUGGUCUGUGUCAAUGCCCAGUCUGGGUUAAUAGAUGUUUGCUCACAUUUUUUCUAACAGUGUUUCCAGUCGAGAAGGGCUUUCUCCUUACUUACUCUUGUCUUUCCCCCGUUUCUCUUCCAGAGACCUGGUGGUUUGAAUGAGAAAUGUCCCUAAUAGGCUCAUCUACUUGAACACUUGAUCUCCACUGGGUGGCGCUGCUUGGGGAGGUCACGGGACCUUUAGGAAGUGGAGGCUUGCUGGAGGAAGUACGUCACUGGAGGUGGGCUCUGGGGAUUGUUUUUGUCCUGUCUGACUUCCUGUUCUUGCUCUUGGCCUCGUGUGUACAGAUGACACGUGAUCAGUCAGCAGCUAGCGUGAUGGACUCUAUUUAUUCCUUUCGGACUGUGAGCCCAAAUAACCCCUUUUCUCCUUGAAGUUGCUUCUGUCAGAGUGUUUCAUCACAGCAACAGCAAAGUAACAACUACAAGGGAGGACUCCGAUACCCUUGCCUUGCUUCCUGUCCGCCCCUCAGAAGUGCCUCCCUGCUAUCAAUAGGGGUCUUCCUUUCCUCCCUCCUCCCCGACCACGUCUAAGCGUGUUCCAAUGCCUCAGCAAGACUCUAUCAUCAGCUCAUGUGUCACCUUGCUUCCUGGUAGUUGUCUCCUUCCUCCAGACCCAUUCAUACAGCAGGAGAAAGCAGUUCCACAAUUGCAGCCCUCUGCAAGGGUACAAAGAACACGCGCUGCCGGGACUCUGCAGUGGACUGCCACAUCGAUUUGGUUUUGUCUGUAUUGUUGUUUCAUCAACCAGCAUUUUUCUUUCCCUCCUGGGCCAUUUCAGGCUCUGUUUUGUGGAGGUGAUUGAAGACACUCUGGAAAUUUCAUUCAGUUUGAAUGACCCAUUCAAUCCAGAUAUCCUAACCCUGUGAAUGAAAAACAAACACACACACACACACACACACACACACACACACACAUACACACACACACACACACACACACACACACACACACACACUCAAUCUCCGCCAAGUUCAAAGUCUCAGGGUCGAUGAACCGGUUUGUUUUUCUUUAAUUAUAAAAACAAAAUAAGGGCAAGUGAACCUCAUGGGCGUGUGUAAGAAGGAAGAGCUGUAAGCUGGGAGAAAUAAAGAUAAAUCCAUCAUGCCUCUCACAGUGAAUGAUGGUGCAAUUAAACAGAGCCAGUCUGACGGCUGUUAAUGCCCUCAUGUACUGUGUUCUUACGAUCCGGGCCGUCACCCUCAUGUUUCCUGUCACCCGAUCUGAAGAUCACAGAUCCGAGGAGGGGGCACUUCCCUUGCUAAGAUGCUGAGUUAUGCCAGGCAGCAUCGAAAAGUAGGUCAGUGGGUCACCGCGCAAACCUGUGUACAAAGGGAGUCUGUCUGAUGCCAGCAAGGGCCAGCCCUUCAGGAGCCAGGGGAGUGCUGACAGAGUUCCUGCAAGAGGACCCAGAUAGGAAGAACCUGCAUUCUGGGGAGCAAGAGAGCCCCUCAAAACGAGAGUAAGCUAACUAUACGUGAAGAUGUGGACAGAGGGUGAGAUAGGUCAGGAAAAUCUGCACUGGAACUGUGGACAUCUGUGUACUGCAACUGUGGACAUCUGUGCACUGCAACUGUGAACAUCUGUGCACUGCAACUGUGGACAUCUGUGCGCUGUAACUGUGGACAUCUGUGUGCUGCAACUGGGUGCGCUGCAACUGUGGACAUCUGUGCACUGCAACUGUGGACAUCUGUGCACUGCAACUGUGGACAUCUGUGCACUGCAACUGUGGACUUCUGUGUGCUGCAACUGUGGACAUCUGUGCACUGCAACUGUGAACAUCUGUGCACUGCAACUGUGGACAUCUGUACACUGCAACUGUGAACAUCUGUGCACUGCAACUGUGGACAUCUGUACACUGCAACUGUGAACAUCUGUGCACUGGAACUGUGGACAUCUGUGCACUGCAACUGUGGACAUCUGUGCACUGCAACUAUGGACAUCUGUGCACUGCAACUGUGAACAUCUGCACUGCAACUGUGAACAUCUGUGCACUGUAAUUGUGAACAUCUGUGUACUGUAACUGUGGACAUCUGUGCACUGCAACUGUGAACAUCUGUGCACUCGAACUGUGAACAUCUGUGCGCUGCAACUGUAACAUCUAUGCGCUGCAGCUGUGAACAUCUGUGCACUGCAACUGUGGAUAUCUGUGACUUUGAAGCAGCAAACAGUCGGUGCAUCCAGAGCAGUGAGGAGCUCAAAUGUGAGGCAGAUUUCCUCUCACGGCUUGGGAACUUAGCAAAGAACAACAAGGCUGAUCAUGGGAAGCACAGCUGUGCAGGUGGUGAAGAAGCCUGGAGGCUCAGGGUAGGAGUUGCCCCCCACCUGCGUCCCAAGCAGAAACCUAAACAUCCAGCCUCCAGCACCCUAGGUGGAAGGCUCCAUCCAUUGCUGUCUGUCACAAUGAAGCAUUAGGGCAGGGUGGGGCUUGCAAAUGAUCUGAUCACCCCACAGUGGAUUCAACCUUUCUAUCUCUUUUUCCUCCCCAAACUUUCCAGCCUGUGGCUUUGUGCAGUUUUCCUGUGUAGAGGCUGAAGGCGGGGGCCUGUGGGUGGGCUCUGGAGACACUUGGGUGACCUUCCCAUUUGUUCUCCAGCCCCCAAGGACACGCAUUGUCCUGUUUCUGCCCUGCAGAUACACAGGCUGAAGCUUCAAGUCCUCACUAGCAUGUUGCUCCCUCACAUCGGUUCCUUGGUUUUCUUGCUACUCAGUGGCGCCGGUGGUCUGUCCUGCAGGACUCAUGGCCAUCCCGGUCACUAUGGAGCCCUUCAGCUCCUCAAGCAUGGUCUUUGCCUGGGCAAUGAGAGAUCUUUGCCAAAGAUGGGUAUCAUCUUAUCCAGUUAAUAUUUGUCCAGUGCCAGAAGGUUGGGUUUAUUUAUUUAUUUUUAACAGAAAAGUCAUGUGAAGGAUCCAGAAUGGGGUUCAGCCUGGAAUAAUGUAAACAGUUUGAAAGAUUUUUUUUUUCAGGACAGCGUGAGAAAGAUUGACAGUGUCCCCAGAAGCUAGAGAGCUCAUUCCUCAGAAAGGAUGGUCUCUUGGGUGGUGUCAGGAAGCCAAGGAGGGCCAGAGACACCUGGCCCCAGGUCUGCUUAGGUAAGGAGGCCCACUUUCCCAUGCCAGGGCUGCCAGGAAUUUCCACCCUCAUGUUCCAGGGCUGCUUUUUGAUCAGAAUUCAAGAUGGCGGGUCUGGGCACUUUGACUAAGUAGGAAGGUAGCUACUGCCUGUAAACUAGGACUGUCCCGUCAAACACAUGCUCCAGGUCUCAGUCCUGGGACUGUGGGAAACACAUCCCCGGGACAGUGGGAGGAGAAUGGCUUAGGGAUAGUCUGGGAUUCUGGGCUCUCUUCCCAUAUGAUAUUGACUCAGAAAUCAGAGCCCCAAAUGUCACAACUGACUUGGCUCUGACUUGCCUGACCCUAAGGAGAUGCAUACUGUAACCUUCUGGGAGAAACAGAGAUGGCCCACCCUGUGCUCAGGCCCCCACCCUGGGCAGUCUUGGUCCAUGGAUUCACUCCUCACCCUCGGACCUGCACAUCUGGCAGGUUUCUUAUGGGUCUAUCUGGUUGAUUUCCUUUCUCUUCUGGCAGCUGUUUACAUGGCUUCCCCUCCUCUUAGAUUUCAGGCUGCAAAAAUGAAUCUGAUUUACUCACAAUGGCAACUGCUUUACUUACAGAUACCUUCCACAGCCAGCAGGGAUAGGUAGGCUGUGCAGAGGCCCCAGACCCUGUACCCUACUGCUAUCCAGGUUUCCUGGAAGGUGACAUUAGUCCAGAAAGUGUUACUGGCACUCCAGGUCCACUCCAUUAUUACUUAUGAGAAACAAGACAUUUAAUUAUUACUAUGUUUAGAAAAUUCCCCAGGGCUUCAAACUCAUGAGCUUAAAUGUUUCCCACCAUGUAAAGCUAUGAUUUGUUGCCUGCCCAAAUGUUCUCUGUGUAAAGAGGAAGAGAUGGUCAUCACAGCCAAACAUACCACAUCCUACCAAUCUCCAGGAUCAAAGCUGGGGCUACUGGGCAUGAAGCUGGUUUGUACCUAAGAAGCCGUCCGGACCCCAGGACCCCAGAAGGCACAUUUCUGCAUCACAGAGCUGACUCAGGUCGGUCAAGCAGGAAAAGAUGCUUUGAGGUAUAAGAUGCAAUCUCUCUGCCUCCCAGGACCCCACAGGAACCUCACAGGAAAUGGGGGAAACUGUAGGAGAUAAGAAACACCCUAAGGGAUCAGAAGUAAUCAGAGCAGGAGUGUUCACAAAGGGACUAUGAUAUUGAUGGAGCUCUUGUAGGUCUUUUUCCAGGCAGGGGUUUGAUGGGGUUCAUGGGAGGCAGGGGGAAUGCUGUUCUAUAUAAGGGAUUUUCUGUAGUGUACACAGAGUCUGGCCAUGGGCUAGUUACCAGAGAUGAACACGGUGCAGUCAACUGGGGUUAUUAGUAUGCUCAGCACACAUCACUUAAGUACUUGACUAGUCAUGGUGUAGAUGAAAUCUGUCCUAUGCAUCAGUGGAAGGCACUUUAAUAACCUAGAGGUACCUAUGGUGGUUUCCUGUAGUCUCUUGUAUAAGGUCACUAGGACAUGGUUUGUCCUCAGUGGUUCAUGUGUUGGUUGCUUGGUCUUCAGAGUGGCAGUGUUGAGGCUGUAGAACCUUGAGAAGGCAGGGCACAGUAGAAAGUAAUUAGGCCAUGGAGAAGCAACCUCAGAGGAGAUUAAAGAGGAGAUCAUGGGACUUGAUUAGUCAUUUUGAGAAAAUGUGGCAUCUCCCCUGAAACUCUCUUCCACAUGGCUGCUCAUUAUUUUCUCAUAAUUUCCCAUCAUUGUGACUGCCUCACUACAGCCACGAUACCUAUGCCAUGUUUUAGAGCUCUAGCUCCUUCAGUACUGUGAACUAAAUAAGCUUUCUGCUUUAUACAGUGCUCAGUCUCUGAGCAAUAGAAAAUGGUCCAAGACAGGUCCACACUCACCUCUCAUCUGUUAAGGCACUCAUCGCACUGUCCCAAGAUCCAUCUAAAUUUGUACCUCUCACACCCAUGAUAUUGAAGAUGGUUCAGUAAGAGACCUCAUGGUUUAUUUAUCUUUUAAAAAAUGUUAUGCCAGCUCAAAUAAGAGUUACUCAACAUUCACAAAGUACUAUGUGCCAGACUUUGUGCGAAGUAGGUCACUUAGUGGUUGACAGUAUUUUCCUGAUUCUUAAGAUGAGGAACUGGCCCGAUAUCACUUGUUGGCAAAUGGUGAAGGCAGGAUUUAGAUUGAAUGUGCUGGCAUGCCCAGAAUGCUCUUAGCAAUUGUACUUACUUCCAGCUCUUUCAAUAAACCUUCGGUGUGCCUACUAAGGUGUCUGCUGGCCAGAAAGUCCCCUCCAUACCCCUAAGGUACCAUUUCAGUACUGACUAACGGUACAUUCCAAAGUCGACUUUUGCUACAGCAUUGGUACAAAGACUCUAAAUGCCAUUAUCAUCUGCUAGAGAGCAGCAGCCAUGAGCUAUUCAUCUUUGUUUCUCUAGAAACUCAUUUAAAACCUUGUAGAUAGAAAAUGCUCAUCAUCUGUUGAAUUGAAUGGAAUGUGUUUAUUUCUCAUCUAGAGUUAUAGGAGGGCCCUGUGUGUAGGGACUUUUCAGACAAAAUAACAUUGAUCAUUUGUCAAACUAUAACCACAACAUGUUUGAUAAUAAUCUUAAAGAAAAACACAAGAAAGAAGGGCUCUCUGGCAGAACUUGGAUCUGAAUAUGAAUCACGCCCAGAGAUUUCUACAAGUACUCAUGAAAAGUGGCUCUGAUGGUUGCCAUGAGAACUAUCAUUUGAGACUUCUGUAGUACCAUAGCGAUAGUGCAGUAGCACUGCAGGUGUGCAUGUGGUGUGUGUGUGUGUGUGUGUGUGUGUGUGUGUGUGUGUGUGUGUGUGUGUGUAUGUGUGUGUGUAAUGCAGAGCAUGCAUAGAGAGAAUACUCCAAUGUUGUCACAUAGAAAAUUGUCGUUGGAAAAGGUAAACACAAAAAUGAUGGAAACUCUUCCAUGAAUUUUACAAAGCCCCUGAUAAUCUUUCACAUCUACUUUAUCAGCUGCAGUGGGCAAAGCUCAGGCUUAGCUGGGAAUCCCUGAUAGGAAAAGGUGGGUGCUUUGUGUCAUGUGAGUAGUGGGAAGAUAUCUUAGUCUCCACCAUGAGUAAACAUUAGUUCUGUGGAACUCUGGUUCCUACACACUCUUCCCAGCUUUCCUAGUGAUAGCCAAAGGCAACCCCAAAUCUAGGAUAGGGGCAUCGUUACAGCCCACUGGAACUCAAACUUCUGCUUUGCCUGAGUAUGCAUCCUCUCUCACCUGCAACCCUCCAGCAGGGUCAAGUCCACCACAGUCAAGACUCCGAAUUGUUUUGGAAGGUCAUCUUUGCUCUCAUGUUGUCCUUUCACAGCUACACUCGCCUCCCUCCUGCUUUAAACAUCCAUCCUAAUUCCAUGCAUUGGUCCUCCCCUUCUACUAUCCCGUCAUUUCAAGGACGUUUUGUAACGGAAGUCACAGGGUCCGCACCCAUCAUCAGCAACUGCUUUCCAUCACUUGGCAUACCAUGGAGGUUCAUCUAAGGCUCGUGCUCAGGUGGCUUGUUCCCUGUAUCAGUAUUGUUCCAUGGGAUGCAGCAGGAACACAACUGUUUGUUUAACCCGUUGAAGGACAUCAUGCUUGGGGCUGUGGCAAACAAAACUACGCUAAAAUAUGCUUGCUCAGGCAGGCUUCUGUGUAAACACGAAUGUUCACUUCUCCCGGCCGAAAGGUGGGUGUGUAAUUGCAGAAUCCUGGUAACUGCACGCUUAACCUUGUGACCUACUGCCCUGCUGUUCUCCACUGCGGCUGCCCCACCUUGUUUCCUCCAGCAGCACACGAGUGAGCCACUUCCCCCAACCCUGGCCAGCUUUUGGUGUUGUCAAAGAUGUCGGCUUAAAUCAUUGCUGGAAGUUUUAAUUCAGACUUCACCAAUGGUUGUUUAGUAGGCCAUCUUCCUCCUGCUUAUUUACCAUCGUGUAUCUCUGUCCUUUUCUAAUUUUUUUUUACUGCUGCCAAAUUUUAUGAUUAUAUAUAUGUGUAUAUAUAUGUAUAUUAUAUAUAUAUUCGUUCUAGAUACUAAUCCUUUGUUGAACAUGUGAUUUGCAAAUAUUUUCUCCUAGUCUGUAACUUUUUAAAAAAUCCUCUUAGGAUGAGCUUUUACACAGUAAAAUUUUUACAUUAGAGAAAUCUGACUUGGCAAUUUUUUCUACCAUAGACAGUGCUUUUGGCAUGAAGCCUAAAGGCUCUUUACAUGGUAUUAUGGUUUAGACCUAAAACCUCUCCCAAAGGCUCAUGUGGUAAAGACCUGGUCAUGAGUCUGUGACACCAUUGGGAGGUACAGCCUUCUGGAAGUGUGGCCUAGUGGGUGAAGUUAGGUCAUGGUUGGCGUAUCUUAGGGGGCAAAAGGAUAGUGGGUCUCUCUCUUACUUUUCUCAUCAUCUUUAUGACAAAAUGCCCAACAAGAACCACUUGGGAAGGCCACAUUUAUUAUGCCUCCAAGUUUAGAGUCUGUUGUACCGGGGAAGGCGCAGCAGCAGAAGCAGGAGGUGGCAGGUCACAUUGCAGCUGCAGUCAGGAAGCAGAGAGAGAGAGAGAGAUGAAGGAUGAUGCUCAACUCACUUUCCAUUUUUGUUCAGUCCUGGACCCCAGUCAUGGAUGACGUUGCUCACAUUCAGGGUGGGUCUUCCUUCCUCAGUUAAAGUGUCUUGGAAACAUCUUCAUACACACCCAGGUGUUUCUAUGGUGACUCUAAAGCCAGGAAAGUUGACAAUGAAGUUUAACUCUCCCCUUCCUCUUCUCCCCUCCCCCCCUCCAUUUCUCUCUUUCCCCCUGCCUCUGUCCCUCUCUGCCUCCCUCUCCCUCCCAAGGUACCACGGGGAUGAACAAAUUUGCUCUGCCAUGUGCUCCCUGCCACGCUACUCUACCAGGCCUCAGGACAAUGGAACCAACCCACCUUGGUCUGAAAUCUCUGAAAACAUGACUCCAGACAAAUCUUUCCUCUGGUUAGUUGUUUAUCUCAGGUGUUUUGUGACAGGCAGAAAGCUAACCAGCCCUCAUAGGCUUACUACUGAGUAGUUUUUUCUACAAUUUUUGUACAAAGGUUUUUCUUGCAUAUUACACCUAAAUCCCUGAUCCAUUUUGAACUAGGGUAUAAAGUGUGGAAGGAUAGGUUAUAUAGAUUCUAUUUUUUUCUUUUUUUCUGACCUGUUAGAGCAGCAGUUCUCAAAAUGUGGGUCAUGACCCCUUUGGGGGUUGAGUGACCCUUUCACAGGGGUCACCUAAGACCAAUCAGAAAACACAGAUAUUUUGCAUUAUGAUUCAUAACAGUAGCAAAAUGACAGUUAUGAAGUAGCAACAAAAUAAUUUAAUGGUUGGGGGUCAUCACAACAUGAGGAACUGUAUUAAAGGGUCACAGCAUUAGGAAGGUUGAGAACCACUAUGUUAGAGACUCAGUUGCUCCAGCAUUGUUUGGGGUGAAAGCAAUCCCUCCUCCACUGACUUCUCUUUAUCCUUUGUCAAAGUCAUGGGUGGAUGGGUUUGUGUGGGUCUAUUCCUGAGUGUAUUAUUGUUCCAUGAUCUAUGGCCUACCUUUCUGUCAGGACAAUACUAUCUCAAGCACCAUGGUUAUCUAUAGGUCUUUAUAAUGGGUAGAGCGAGUACUCAAAAUUUAUUCUUUGUCAUUCUAGGAUCUAUGUUUUACUAUAUACAUUUUAAACUAAGGUUGUCUCUGCCUAUAAAAAGCCUUGCUGGGGUUUUGAAAAUAACUGCUUUUGUAUUUACUGUUUAAGUUGGGGGGAACUAACGUGUUUAUUAUAUCAUUUUUCCAGCCAAAAAGCACAGCUUGAACAUGAUUUAUGUAGGGCUUUCAGAAGUUUCUUUUCAGGGCAGGAGAGGCGACUUAAUUAAGAACAUUGGCUGCUCUUGCAGAGGACCCAGGUUCAGUUUCCAGCACUCACAUGGUGGCUUAUGACAGUCCUUAAUUCCAGUUCUUAGAGGAUCCAACAUCUUCUUCUGACCUCCACAGGCAUCAGGAACACAUGUGGUUCAUAUAUAUAUACAUGUUGGCAAAAUGUUCAUACAUAAAAUAAAAAUAAAAUCAUUAUAAAAAUAUCUUUCAGCAACAUUUUAUACUUCUCAGUGUAGAUGCCCUGUAUAUGUUUUAUUAAGUUUACAUCUAGGUAUUCCAUUUUCUUUAGAAUGAUUAGGAAUGGUUUUGUAUUUUAUUCCCAUUUGCAUGUUUUGGUUGUUAGUAUAUAGAAAUACAAUUCAUUUCUGUUAAUUGUGACCUGUGCCAUUGCUGAAUUCCGUUCUAAGUUCUAAAAGUUGUAUCAAAGAUGUGGGAAACUUCUGUUGAGACUAGCAUACCAAUUAUAAAUGUAGUUUAAUUUCUUUACUUGUAACAAUAUACCCUUUGUUUUCCAGUUUUCCCUAUUUAUGUAAGGUUGACUCCCUGUACUAUGUUGAAUAAUAGUGGCAAGAAUGGAUGUUACCUUGGUCCUGACUUUUGAGCUGACACAUUCAAUAUUUCCCCACUAAGUGAGAUGAAUUGUGAUUUUUACUUCUGUAAAUAGUCUUUACUCAAGUGGAGUUAAUUCUCUCUAUUCCUAAUGUGUUGGUAUUUUUAUUAUGGACAGUGUUGGAUUUUUGCCAAGUUCUUUUUAGCAUCAGUCGAUAGAACUAUGUGAUGUUUUUAUGUUAGUAUUUUGAAUGACUAUUUUUGUGUUUGUUUGUUUGUUUUUCUCUGUAUAACCUCCCUGGCUGUCCUGGAAUUCGCUCUGUAGACCAGGCUGGCCUUGAACUCACAGAGAUCUGCAUGUCUCUGCCUCCUGAGCACUGGGGUUAAAGGCAUGAGCCACCAAUGCCUGGCUGAAAGACUGUUUUGAAUAUUGAACCAGCCUUGCAUGUCUGGAGGAAAGCCCACUUGUUGAAUGUGCAAUUAUUCUUCUACAUUAAAGGAUGGUUCUUGUGACGAUCUUGUUGAGGAUUUAAAAAUAUGUCUUCCUGAGAGAGUCUGGCCUGUGGUUUUCUUGUACUUUCUUUUCCUGGUUUUCAUAUUAGGGUAAUGCUGGCUUCAGAAAACAAGCUGUAGAAUGCCAUUUUCCAGUUUCAUGUUGUUGGUUUCUUCUUUGAUUCUGUUACGCCUGGAGACUUCAGUCUGCAGUUGCAAUUCUUUAAAACUUUUAAAGAUUUAUUUUAUGGUUCAUAAAACGAGUGAGCUGUCUUGAUACAUAUUCCAUGGGACCUGGAAAAAGUGUGUUUUCAUCUGUUUGGCAGAACGUUCUGGAAUACUAGUUAUGAUCAUGUCAGCUGUGUUGUUUUUCGGAUUUUGUUGUCGGGAUCUUCUUGCUAAUUUUCUUUUCCGUGAUUCUAUCAUGAAAGGCUUCACCACAGCUAUGAAAUUUUCUGUUGGUGUCAUUGGCCUUGAGUUUUUACUGCACAUGGUUUGAAACACAAUUCUUUGGUGCAUUGACAUUUAGUUUUGUUAGUUCAUUCGGCAAAUUACACAAUUUCCAUAUUUACCCGCAGUAAUUUCCUUUGUUUCUUUAGACAGUGUGCUCAUACGACAGUGUAUGUGAAUGCAUGCAUUGCAUGACUUAUCUUCUUACAAUUUUUUAUUUCCAGUUUACCUAUGUCAUAGAAGUUUGGGUGGAGUUUUCAUUCCUUUAUUCUUUUCGUGUGUGUGUGUGUGUGUGUGUGUGUGUGUGUGUGUGUGUGUGCAAGCAAAUAGCCUAUUGUUGAGUUAUUUUUAAAACUUUAGUUUGCCACCAAUGCCAGCAUCACCACUUACAUUUCACGUGACUACUAGUGUGCGGGCACUCAAUGUGCCAUUUUGUAGUUUCGUUUCUAUCUGUUUCUUUUACUGCUGUUACCGUUUCACAUUUACUGACUUCUUGGCGGUUACUUGAGCAAGUUUAGAAUUCUGUCUUGACUUUUGUUUGAGUCUUUUUGAGUCUACCUUUCUAUAUAGUGUUUGUAGUGGUUACUUUAAGUACAAGAGUGACAGUUUCCAAACUAAUACCAGUGUUUUUGCUUUUAACCGGAGCAUGGAAACCUGGGCUGCAUGCAGGUUCCUCUUCCCUCCUCACUUUUGAAUCUCACUGUGUUGAGUUGUCUGAUAGUGUUGUGGUUGUUGCCAUCACCAAACACUGUCUGCAGAGCCCCUGAACAAGAGGAUUCUCUAGCAUUUGGGUACAGAUCUUCAAGUUUCCCACGGGUCUUCAUUCCUCCCUCACACUCUAACACUCCUUUCCUCAUUUGCUGUCUGAAGACCUUCCUUUAGCCAAUCUUUUAGUUCCUAGAGAUAAAGAUUGUUAGCAAAAAAGUCACUUAUUCUUUGUUUGAGAAAAAACCAUUUUAAAAUGUCCCUUUCACUCUUGAGGGGUAACUUUGCCUGAUACAGAAUUUGUGGUGCUUCUUGCUCUUGACACACUUGUGUGACUUCUUCCUGGCAUCCCUGAUUUCAUCUGUGAGAAACCCACUCCCAGCCUCCCUGAUUUCAUCCAUGAGAAACCCACUCCCAGCCUCCCUGAUUUCAUCUAUGAGAAACUCACUCCCAGCCUCCCUGAUUUCAUCUAUGGGAAACCCAUUCCCAACAUCCCUGAUUUCAUCUGUGAGAAACCCACUCCCAGCCUCCCUAAUUUCAUCUGUGAGAAACCCAGUCCCAGCCUCCCUGAUUUCAUUUAUGAGAAACUCACUCCCAGCCCCCCUGAUUUCAUUUAUGAGAAACCCACCUUCAUCUACUUCCCUGUAGGGUGUUAUUUUUCUUUCACUGACAUCAAGAAAUUUUUUAUUUAACUGUAUUUUUCAGGAGUUAAAAUUAUAAUGCAUUUGGUGUGGAGUGAUUUGGAUUUAUACUGUUUGGCAAUUUUACAACUUCUUGGAUUUGAGGGUUCGUGCCUUUAGCCAAAUUUAAACAUUUUCAGGCAUUGUGUCUUCACAUGCAUCAUCAGCCCUACCCUUUUCUCCUUCCCAGCUGGAACUCCAAAAGUUAUGAGCAAUUUUAGAAUUCCAUCUUGACUUAUCUAGUCUUUCUGAGUCUGUCUCUUUAUAGUUUUUAUAAAUGUUACUUCGGAUAAUGUAAUAUGACUUUGCCACUCUCCUAUUGAGGCCACAUAGUAAGUCUUCUUGAAUAUUCUGCUGUUAUAUUGUUCAGAUCUGUAUUUUCAUGUUUUCACUUGACCAAUUUUUUUUUUGUAAGUGGGAGUAGGAGGGAAGCCUAGGAUUUGAACCCAGGGCUUCAUGCAUAUUAAGCAAGCACUCCACUCAUGAGCUGUAUCCUCAACCCUUUAAAAAUUUUGUUUUAUUCUGAGACAAGUUUUUUCCAAGGUCCCCAGGAAAGACUUGAGGUUGUGACCUUAUGGCCUUAGCCUCCUGCUACCUGAGUGGCUGAGGUUGCAGGCCUGUGUUGCAAGGCCUGUCUACUUUUAUAUAUAAUAUAAUUUUUUCUUUCUUCAGGUUUUUAAUUAUUUAGUCCUUUCAAAAGAAUACAUAAUUGAUCAUUGAAGCAUUUUAAUGGUCGCUAAAGUCCUUAAUAAUGCUGAUAUUGAUUUGCCAUGAUGUUGCUUAUCUUUGCUCAUUUGAGAUGAGAUUUAUUGUUUUCUCUGGGCCUUUAAGAACUGUACGCCGACAUUUUACAUCUUACCAGUUAUGUUAGGGACUCUGGUUCCUGUACACAUCUUCCCUAUCAGCAGUCAGAUACUCUGUGUCAUAUUUAGCUUCAACUGUCAAAUUGACACACCUGGGAACUUCAAUUCUGGAACUGCCUCCAUCAGAUCAAUAUGUUGGCAUGUCUGUGGGGAAAUUUUCUUGAUUUCCAAUUUCUUAGGGUGGGUUACUAUUGUUAUGAUGAACCACUAUGACUAAAAGCAAGUUGAGGAAGGAAGGGUUUAUUUGGCUUACACUUUCACGUCAUAGUCCAUCACUGAAGGAAAUCAGGGUAGGAACUCCAACAGGACAGGAACCUGGAGGCAGGAGCUGAUGCAGAGGCCAUGGAGGAGUGCUGCUUACGGGCUUGUUUAUAAUGGCUUGCUCAGCCUGCUUUCUUAUAGAACCCAGGUCAACCAGCCUGGGGAUGACACCACUCACUAACUAAGAAACUGCCUACAGGCUAGCAUCUUGAUCUUAUGGAGGCGUUUUCUUAAUUGAGGUUCCCCCCUCUCAGAUGACUUCAGCCUGUGUCAUGUUGACAUAAAACUAUCCAGCACAUUAAUUGAUAUAAGGGCUCAGCCUACUGUAGGCAGUACCAUCCCUAGGCAUGUGGGCCUGGGCUGGGUAAGAAAGGUAUCUGGACCUGUAAGCAAGUCAAUAAGCAACACUCUUCUCUAGUCUCUGUUUAGUUUCCUGUCUCCAGGUCCUUGUCUUGAACUCUUGCCCUGGCUUCCCUCAAUGAUAGUCUGUAAACCUGAAAGCCAAAAUAAACACUUUCUCCCCACGUUGGUUUGGUCAGUGCUUUAUCAACAGCAUCAACAAAAGUAAGACUAGAACACUCUGUUUAGGUUUAGUAGGUGGCUUGCCUUGCUCUCCUGUAGGCUCCGGUGUGGAUGACAGCCCAACCUUCAGAGCGUUUGGUCUGCGGGGUUUCUCUGGAGCUAAUGGGGAUGCCAUUUGUCACUACUGGUUCAGCCUGAGGGCAGGAUUGCUUUCCUGGGUUCUGAAUGUUAGAUUUUUCUUAGCGUAGAGGUGCCCCCUUUCCCCUUCUCCCCAAUGCCUUGGAAUUUCUGCACAGUGCAGUCAAUGCAGAGAGCAAGAGGUGAGUAAGGAAGGCGACCCAAGCCUCUAAGGACCUAGUGCAUCAGUACUGCACAGUGGGGGGUUGCUUAUGACAGAAGAGGGAUAGAAUGCAGACGCACUGAGUCAGGACUAUGGAAGCAAGAAAGAAAACGCUCCGAGGGGAGAGUGGCUUGCCAUGCCAAAGGCUGUUGACGAGUCACGUCCAAAGAGCACUGAAAAGUUUCCACUGGGUUAGCACGCGGAGAGGUCGUGGGCUGGGGCAGCGCUGGAGGAGUGGUGAGUGUGGAGGUCAGACGGGAGCAGAUUUUUAGAUGCAGAUGUUCCAUCUACUUAAGUCUGUCAUGGGAGAAAUGCAGGAAUCUCUAGCAUGCAAAACAACAGGGGGCCGAGGGGGAGCACGCUGGCAAUCACAUUCUUUCCUCCUCCAGCGUCCACCACAGCUACCUUCUCUUGAGUCUUUAGUCCUCCUGGCGGUCCUCCUGUUUCCAGCAUCCACAUCACUCUACCCACCCUCUUCCACUGGCUCUGCCACUUCAUCAUCACAGAUGCUCCAGGCUCUGCUUGUCUUCCCCACCGAACUGUCAAGCUUCUCUUUUCACCAGUCAGUUAAAUGCAAAUGCUUAAAGAAUGCGACAGCUACUUUUAGAAAGGAUUCAUCUCCGAAAUGAUUUUAAAGGUCACUGCCUAUUAUAGGAACAUUUGUUCAGAGAGAAAGAAAUUACCAAUUCAGUUUCCCCUGGACAGCAAUUUUAAGAAAUGUUGGCUAUCCAGAGCACCUCCCUAAAGCCUACUAAGCAAAUGCUAAGAGGGAAAAAUAAUAAGUGUUCUUACAAGUUUAUUUGAUGGGUUUUUAUUGAGAGCACAUUCGUUUUAGCUGGGUCAACCCAAAUGGAGUAGCGUUCUAUUUCACGCAACUGGAAGACUUUACAGCCGUUGCAGCCAAGCCCUUUCUCAAAGACUCUUUCAGAGGGAGAUGAAGUGGCAUAUUUAGGCUAUUUAGAGAGAGAAUUAUCUGCAUCUUUUUCUUCAUUCCCUGGAUGACUCUGAAGGUGGGUUCCACCAGCUCAAAGGUGCUUCCUCCCGUCCGCCCAAGACAAGGUCUCCUUCUGUAGCUCAAGCUUGCCCAGAGCUCACUGUGUAGCCCAGGCUAGUCCAGAACUCAAAGUAGUUCUUCUGACUCUGCCUCCUCAGUUCCAGGAUCACAGACAUGAGGCACCCCUGCCCCCAGCGCUAAGGACACUCUUGCUUUAAUAAUGCAUGAGCUUCCAUGCACUUUAACUGUUUAAAAUGGUGGAUGAUUAAGGAUGCAUCUUCCACCUUUGCCACGUGUUAUUCCUUCUCUGAAGCUUAUCUCUCUUCACUCCAUUUUGUUGUUGGAGACGGUCGAACCAUAUCCAAUAUGUUUGGAUCGAACCCCGCCCCGUCUUCCCUCCAGUUCCUCCUGUACCCUCACCAUGUCUCCUUCCCAGCUUCAUGAUCUCGCUUUUAAACAUAUUUUUAUUACUUCUUCAAGAAUUUCCUACAAUGCAUUUUGUUCCCGUUCACCCAUGUUCUCCUAACUCAUCCCAUGAACAAUACUAAUCAAGCCCAAAAACUUAAAAAUAAGCAAAUAAAUAAAUGGAGGACACCAUAUUAAGGGGAUUAUGUAAUGGAGUGGUCCCGGAGGGUUUUGGAGGGGAAAUCGGGUGAUGGAUAUGAUCAAGACACAUUAUGUACAUGUAUGAAAGUUAAAAAAUAAACUAAAGAUACUAUUUUUAAAAAAGAUAAUAAAAAUCCAGAAGUAAAUUGUAGCCUGAAUGGUUUAGUUGCAACAGUCAUGCCUGGACCACACACUAGGUAAAGAACAGUUUCUUCAGCCUGUGAUACUGGGAAAUCUGGAUGUCCACAGGCAAAAGAGUGACGUGUGAACCUUACAUUACAACUCCUAGAAAAUUAACUGAACAUUGGUCAGUGACCUAACUAUAAGAUUUAAAUCUAUGAAACUCCUCAAGGAAAAUAUGUGGAAAAGUUUCAGAAUAUUUGAUCUUUCCUGAGUAGGCUACCAAAGACACAGGUGAAAAAAGAAAAGCUGACGAAACUCUCCAACUUUGAAAGUGUUUAUCGGUGUCAAUAUUAGAAACAAUAGCACGUCAAUGGAAAAAAAAACCAACAGAGUAGAAGUCAACCUAUACAAAGAGAGAACGAGGGGCCCGGGGAGAUGGCUCAACCGCUAAGGACCGCCUUGUGCUGCUCACAACUGCCUCUGCUCUGUCUCUAACCCACUGGGUCUGUUUAGUGCUGCCCAUAUAUGCACAGGCAUGUGGCCAUCUGCUGGAGCAUGGGCAGCCCAUCAGGAGCCGCAUCCCUGAAGCAAAAGGACUCCUCUCUUCCCAGUAAGCAUCAACUACCAAUAGCUGGGCGUGGGACUUCCCCGAUUCACGCUGGAAUUUUUGCUGUUUCGGUCUUAUGCAUCCAGCCACAGUCAAUGGGAGUUGUUAUGUGCCAUGGCCUUGUCAUGUCUGGAAAGCACUACCUUGAAGCAGUCCCCUACAACAUCUGGCUUUCACAGUCUUUCUGCUCCCUCGUCUGUGAUUAUACCUGAGCCUUGGGAGGAGGAGGUGUGGUAUAGAUACCCCACUUAGGGCUGAGAACUCUAUAGUUUCUGAUUCUCCUCAUACUCACAAGUUGUGAGUCUGUAUUAAUGGCCAUUUACUGCAAUGAACAGAUUCCUUGAUGACGUUAGAGGACGGCCCCAAUCUAUGGAUAUAAUGAUAAGUAUUUAGAAGGCAGUUUGAUAGUGUGCCUAUAACCAAAAUGAUGUCUAGAGGCUCUCCCCUAGGGCCUAUGACCUUUCCAGCCAAGGAUUCUUCACCCAGUAGUAAGCAUGAAUUCUGUCUUGUGGAACUGGCAUUAAAUCCAAGCUGAAAGUGGUUGGCUACUCCCAUAACUGUUAUGACACUAUUGUACUGAUAGGCAUGUCUUCUCAGGCCUGCCACUAUUAUAGUUCAUAGGGUUCACAUAGCACCUUCUAGCAUCAUGAAACCUAGCCAAUAGGGAAAAAGCUUCCAGGUCUGUACCAGCUUGAUUUUUUUGCGGGGGGGGGGAGUCUAUGGGAACCCCUCAACUACAGAUAGAUAACUGUCGUGGUUUGAAUGAAAAUGGCCCCCAUAGGCUCAUAGAGAGUGGAAGGUGUGGCCUUGGUGGAGUAGACAUCCCUUGAUGGGGGAAGUGUGUCACUGGGGUUGGCUUUGGGGUUUCAGAUGCUCAAGACAGGCCCAGUGUCACUUUCCCUGCUGCCUGCUGAUCCAGAUGUAGAACUCUCAGCUCCUUCUCCAGCACUGUGUCUGCCUGCAUGCCGACAUGCUUCUCACCAUGAUGAUAAUGGACUAAACCCCUGAACCUGUAAAUCAGUCCCAAUUAAAUGUUUUCCUUUAUAAGAGCUGUCAUGGUCAGGGCUGGAGAGAUGGCUCAGAGGUUAAGAGCACUGGAUGCUCUUCAAGAGGUCCUGAGUUCAAUUCCCAGUAACCACAUGGUGGCUCACAGCCAUCUAUAAUGAGAUUUGGUGCCAGAACACUGUAUAAUAAAUAAAUAAAUAAAUCUUAAAAAAAAAAAGAGUUGCCAUGGUCAUGAUGUUUCUUCACAGCAAUAGAAACUCCAACUAAGACAGUAGCCUAUAUCUAGUAUUGGCUUUCUGUUUGAUAGCCUACGGCAUGUAGGAGAGACAUUAUCCUUCUGUAUUGGGUAAUUCCAUUUAAACUUUUGAGAUAUAUGUAUUGGAGAUAUAUAUGUAUAUAUCUCAAAAGCUUAUAUAUAUAUAUAUAUGCUUCCAAAAUAGGCUUACAUAUGGAUAUUUCGAAGAUCUUUAAUUUUAGUUAUCCCUUCUUAUACUCUGCUGUCAUAUUCUCCUCCCCACUUAAAACCUCCUGCUCCAUUAUCCCCCUUCCCCGUUCAUACCACCUAUGCUCUACUGUCCCCCUCCAUCAAAAUACCUUCAAUGGCCCCUUUCUAGUUUCCUGGCUUCUAUAGGUGCUCCAAGUUAAACACACAGCUCUAAAGGUCCUCUUCCACAGAGGAAAGAGAAUGUGCAGUAUUUAUUUCUUGACCUGGAUUACUGUGCUCAGAAUGAUUUUUUUUUUCAGUUCCAUCUACCUCCAGAUUUCAUAAUUUCAUUUUUCUUUACAGCUACGUACCACAUUUUCUUUAUCCUUCUAUUGACUGAUAGCCUAUGCAUCUAGGCUGUUUCCAUUACGUAGCUAUGGUGAAUAGAGAAGCAAUGGAUGCUGGGGAGGGGGGCAAGUAUCUCUGUUGUAGGGUAGAGAGCCCCUUGGGUAUGUGCCUGGGAAGGGAUAGUGUUGUAGAACAUUAUUUUAAGGUGUGUUACUUUUGUUUAUGUUGCAUUUGUUUAACUCUGUGAAGUUAUGUUACUGUGCCCGUCUAAAAUACCUGAUGGUCUAAUAAAGAGCUGAAUGGCCAAUAGCGAGGCAGGAGAGAGAAAUAUGUGGGGCUGGCAGGCAGAGAGGAUAAAUAGAAGGAGAAAUCUGGGAGAAGAGAGAUGGAGGAGUGAAAAAAGAAGUAGCCAGAGAAGGAGGAGGACUCCAGGGGCCAGCCACCCAGCUACACAGCAAGCCACAGAGUAAGAGUAAGAUUUACAGAAGUAAGAGAACGGGAAAAGCCCAGUGGCAAAAGGUAGAUGGGAUAAUUUAAGUAAAGCUGGCUAGAAACAAGCCAAGCUAAGGCUGGUCAUUCAUAAUUAAGAAUAAGCCUCUGUGUGAUUUAUUUGGGAGCUGGGUGGUGCCCCCCCCCCAAAAGAGCCAAACAAACAACAGUAUAGCUGUGUCAUGUGGUAGGUUUAUUUGUAGCCUUUUGAGACAUCUCCACACUGAUUUCCAUAGUGACUGCACCAGUUUGCACUUCUGCCAACUGUGAAUAAGUGCUCCCUGUCUUCACACCCUUGCAGGCCUUUGUUGGGAUUUGUUAGCCCUUGUGACUGGGGUAAGAUGAACUCUCAGAGGAAUGGCUAAGGAGGUUGAACAUUUAAAAGAGAUUCCCUAGCCAUUUGUAUUUCCUCUGCUUGGUUCUAUAGUCCACUAUUGAAUUGGAUCAUUUAUUUUCCUGGUGUUUAGGUUUCUAUUUUGAGUUCCUUGCAUAUUUUAGAUGUAAUCAUGUGUCAUAUGUAUAGCCGUGAAGCCUGAUUAUGAGGUCAGAGUCACCAUGCGUAAGUGUUCAAUGCUUUCCUGGGGGGAAUUGUGUUGUAGCGUGUUUUCAGCAAGGUAGGAACUUUUUAUUGACCAGGCACGGUGAUGGCUCACUGCAGUGUUACUUCCAGCAGGAGCACCUGGGAGUUGGGUUAAAAUGGGAGCCAAACCAGCUGCUUUCCAGGAAACCUCCCGGGAGCUAAAUGCUUGUCUUACUUUCUCCUUCUCUCCCUUCUUCCCUUGUGAGAGAGAAAAACACGACUCCGUGAGAUAAUGCCUCCACCCCAGCAGAGCCAGAUACCACCAUCACAGCCUGGCCUGGAAAUGUCCAGUGUGGUUUCUCCUGAAUAAAGACCGGGACCCGUGGCUGCCUGUCAUGUGGAUCACCACCCCUCCUGGCUACCUGGGAUUCCAGCUCAUGGCUCACCAGACUCCUGUGGGCAGGCCUCUGUGUUAGAGGAACCAUAGGAACCUGCAUUUUCGAGAUGCCUGCUUGUAAGGAACAGGGCCCUAACAGGAUGGCUUCAGGAGCAGACACAGAACUUCUUUUAAAGAACUCAGAUUCCGGUUCCAAUCCCGUUUCCGGUAACCACCCGCUGUGGAGUCUUAAGAAGCUUCUUCCUACUUCCCAGUCUCUCCAUCUGAUAGACUCUGGUAAUGACACCGAAUCACACCUUCAGGGUUGAGAGGGUUAAAGAUAACCAACAGAGCUACCGUCUGUGUGCACCUGGAUGAAUGGUAGUUGUGACCAGAGGGAAGGCACAGUGCUUGCAUUCAGGGUGAUGCCAUCCAGUGACCUUGAGGCAGUUACAAGAGUGCUGAGGUUUGAGUUGAAUUUUGAGGCUUCGGGCCCUAGAUGAGGACUGGGAACCAAGGCUGUGUUAAAGGGCAUGGUGGAUGGAUGGUGCUGUGGUAUGAGUUUGCAUCUUGUUCCUGAUUUCUCUUGCCUCUCAGUCUCCAACCGGAUGUCCGCCGAGUAGCUUUAUCUUGUCUUCCUGGCUUUUGUUUUUUUUUUCUGGACUCCUCAACUUCUCAAGGAAUCGGGGAGCUUGAGAAUUAGUGAAUUUCCAAAAGAAUGAAUGGGUGAAAGUUUUGUUGAAUGCAGGACCUCAGAGGACAAAUCAUGUGGCCCCCAGGGGCUUCACCUCAUACCUCAAGAGUCCCAGUGUCAGUGAGAGACCCUGUUCCCAUAUGGGCUAGACCGUUGGGACUCUGAGUACAUGGGAGACUCAAAAGUUCUUUCCCUCACCCCUGUCUCCUGGCUCUUCACAAGAUGCCUGCUUCUCAUGCUGCUACAAUGAGAACUCACUCCUCACACCUAGAGAUUAAUGAAGAAAAAGUUACUGAAAAGGUACCAGGUAAGCUAUUGUUAAUGUCCAAAGAGGGGUCAGCCUCAAAUGGAUUUUACUAACCUAUAUACAUCUUAGGCUUAUGCACUUCACAUACCCUGAAAUCCUUAAAUCUCUUAUAGGUCCAGCCCCAGGUUACACUUUGAACAAUUUAAACAGACACCAGAGACUGCUAGUCUGGCCACUUGGGCAGAUGGGAGAUUUACACAGCAAAGAUAUUGCCAGUCUUAUUUCUUAAGUACACCAGUGUUGUUCUUUUCAAAUAGUUAUUGCCUGGGGUCAUCUUGCCUACCUGGCAGAAUUAUGCUUUUCCAAGAAGAGAACUGGGGGUUUUAAUGGCAGGCCAGGCCUUAACAUUGGUUGUGAUCCUGCACUGUCCCCUUAAGCUUAAUGGGCUUAAUGGCUGCCCAGUUCUGGUGAACAUUUACCUCUUAGCAUCCUAAUUUCCCUCGUCUCUAACAGGCCUGGUUAGCAGACUGCUUCUCCUUGGGGGUAUUUUGGAGGCAGUGCUCCCUUUCUUAAAUUCCACUGGUGGGACUUAAUGUCACUCAAGCAAGCCUAUUUACUAGUAAAGCCUUGAUAAUGUCAACUCUAUGACUUCGAGUUUCUUCUACAUCAGUGCAACCCUGAGAGAACGGGGCUCGUAGAUCAGGACUAAAAGCAGAUCUUGGGUCUCUGAGUCGAAUUUAGCAGGUUUCAAUGUGAUGAAAUAGAGCUUCACACAUCCCCACAUGGUCCUGGGACACACCAGCUUCUCUUCCUGGUCGAGGGAGCUGCUUUCCCUGGGGGCUUCUGCUCCUCCAGAGUGGUGAGAACUACUUGGACUUUAGCUUGUCUUCCUGCUUCAGGGAAGGAGUCCAAUUCCCAGCUUUACUGAACAGAAACCCCGGUGAAGCCACUAGGCUCAGCAAUCCCACUCUGUUGGAGCAGGCAUUGCCAGCCAGGGCCACACAGAUUUUCUGUGAUGGUCUGCAGCUUCUCUCACUAUAACACCUCCCCAUCCCUAACAGCUGGGUCAUCUGGGAUGCUCCUAGGUUGACCUCUGGGGUCCUGGGGGUCUCUGCUAGCCUCUUGCUCUGAUUACUGCCACAGAAGAGGCAAGAUGUAGGGAAGGCUGACUUUAAGGAGCAAGGAAGCACACAGUUAAAGAGGUUCCUGGACCACCUGCCCUGGAGUCAGUAGUCUCUGAGCCAAGACAUGGGGCAGCAUUAUUCAUUUACAACAGUUGCCAUGACAACAUAACUCAGCUUCACUGGCCCCCAACAGCACAUAAUCACGUUCUCAGGCUUAGGAGGCUGGGAGUCCAACAUCAGAAUAUUAGCAGGCCAGUUUCUUGUCUCUCCUUGGCUUGUAGAUGACCACCUUCAUCUUCAUAACACAUUCUCCCUCAGUGCUUUCAUUACCCAGCAUUUCCUCCUGCACUGGAGAAAGCAUCAACUAUUCUGAUCUAUACUUGGGGAUGAGAAGGAAAGACAAUAGUAUGUACUGAGCUGGCUCCAAGAGGCUUGUGACAACCUCUGCAAGAUCAAAGCUUCUCACCAGCAGAGUUGGAUAAGGAUGUGUCUCUCCCUGAAAGAUGCUGCUCCUGCCUCCAGAUUCCUGUCCUGUUUGCGUUCCUGUCCUGACUUCCUUUGAUGAUGAAGAGUGAUGUGGAAGUGUAAGCCAAAUAAAUCCUUUCCUCCCCAAGAUGCUUUGGUCAUGGUGUUUCAUCCUAGCAAUAGUAACUGUCACGAGGAACAGGGAACUAGGUUUGGAAUAGACCUGUAUUCUCAUCCUAUCUCUUGCAUCUUCUAGCUGUGUGGUCUUCCACCGAAGACUCAACCUCUCUGAAUAUGAUAAGCUCACAUGACCCUACAUCAUGUAGACAAUGGACUUAGAGCCAUUUAGAUAUACUAUCAACUAGGUAAAUACCAGCUGCAUCCAACACAUAAUAUGUCAUGUUCUAUUUCCAUUCAGUUCUAUGUCUUUUGAGAUCAUUUGAGACCUUUUGGGUUUAGAGUUUAGACUAAUGUGGAUGUGAAUACCAGCUCUGCUCUUUGCGAGAUAUGUAACUUUGGGCAUGUUUACUACUCACCCCUUGCCUCAGUUUCCUUAUUUGUAAAGCAAGAUCAAAACUCUGCCUCUCAUAGGGGGUCCCACGGAAUGCACAACCAAUGAAGGUAGAAUUCUUGGGUCCUGGCCUGGCAAAAACGUUUUUAUCUUUAGUCUCCCAGUCAUCCCCUCCUGGAUGUCAAUCAUUUCACCAGUACCUCUUUCUCUUGGUGCUCAUUAAACUGGGCAAUUUAAGACCAACAACAAUACAUUUCCCUAUUACACAUGUUACUGGAUAAAUAUUCCCUUUGUGCUCUGGUUAUCCUUCUAUAGCUAUCUUUGGUUUUUCUGUUCUUUCCUCUACUCCCCACCUUCACACCCUGCCAGAAGUCUCCAAUCUUAUACUCUGCCUGGAAGCCAAAGAAGCCUGCAGAUCCACCCAAGACAAGAUCUGACGUCUCUGAGACUGGUAGACUCAGCCCACACUUGAGCUAUGCCAUUGUAUUGCUCUCCCUCCUUACUCUGUCUCCAAAGAGUCUUGUAAAACAUGGCCAACACUGCCUCAAUGUUAGCUGGGAGAUGAAGGUGAUUUAUCCAAGUGUGAUUAUUUUCUGUUCUUUUGUUUUUACCCAACUGGGUCAUUUUGAUCUGUGGACUUCCCUGACUCAUUCCAUGGUCAAUGUGGCUUUCUCUCCAGAUUCUCAGCCACCUCUUUGGGUCGACUCAGGUGAC